rnacentral:lncRNA from 1 species
AGUCAUUCUAUUUAUUCUAAAUCUGGAUUUGGUCAUCCAAAAUACAGGCAUAAGAUUUUUGACUAAAGAGUCUGAUGUAAAUCCAUUGAUCCUCAAUGGGUAAAGACAAUGAUUGCAUAAGAAGGGACAAGUGUUGCUGUGCUUUAGGGCCCGACUGGAUUGUGGGGUCCAAUGGGGCCACCAGGACUGAAGGGGCUACCGGGUGAAAAGGGGAAGAUGGGCGCUCAGGGGGAAAGAGGUGGAAAGGGGAUCCAGGGAGACAGAGGCAACCAAGGUCAACAAGGACCAAAGGGCCCACUGGGGAAAGAAGGAUACUUAGGGCCAUCAGGGGACAGAGGGAAAGAAGGAGCUUCAGGACUUAAGGGCCAGCCGGGCAUCAGAGGCCCUACAGGUCUCGCUGGGCGUUACGGACCAGGGGGCAACACCGGGAGAGGCCGUGCCAAGGGAGAGAAGGGGCUCCCCGGAACCACAGGGCCUCCUGGAAGGUUUGGGCCUCCAGGCUUAGUUGGACCAAAAGGACCAACAGGUUUACCAGGAAAAAGAGGAGUCGAUGGAAAAAGUGGACUUGGUGGACUUAAGGUGUAA